ensembl:lncRNA
GUGGUCUAGUGGUUAGAGUGUAGGGUCGGCAGGUAGCCUAGUGGUUAGAGUGUAGGGUCGGCAGGUGGUCUAGUGGUUAGAGUGUAGGGUCGGCAGGUAGCCUAGUGGUUAGAGUGUAGGGUCGGCAGGUAGCCUAGUGGUUAGAGUGUAGGGUCGGCAGGUAGUCUAGUGGUUAGAGUGUAGGGUAGGCAGGUAGCCUAGUGGUUAGAGUGUAGGGUAGGCAGGUAGCCUAGUGGUUAGAGUGUAGGGUCGGCAGGUGGUCUAGUGGUUAGAGUGUAGUGUCGACAGGUAGCCUAGUGGUUAGAGUGUAGGGUCGACAGGUAGCCUAGUGGUUAGAGUGUAGGGUCAGCAGGUAGCCUAGUGGUUAGAGUGUAGGGUCGGCAGGUAGCCUAGUGGUUAGAGUGUAGGGGCGGCAGGUAGUCUAGUGGUUGAAGUGUAGGGUCGACAGGUAGCCUAGUGGUUAGAGUGUAGGGUCGGCAGGUAGUCUAGUGGUUAGAGCGUAGG